rnacentral:lncRNA from 1 species
AGUGGCAGUGAAACAUAGGAGCAGUUAAAGGCAAAACAAUCUUAUAAUAACGUCCCAAAAUGUGGUUGAAUUUCAGUCACUAAUCCACAAUUGUGUAAUUUGUAAUCCCCUUUCAUCAAUUAUCAAAGAGUUAUUUAUAAACUCUCUUCUUCAAUUGUUCAUUGAUAUUAGUUUGCUAAAUUUUUUAUAUGUGGGUCAAACUUUGCAAAUAAAAGAAUUUGGUUAGAAAGUCGCAUUUCUUGGUUUAGAAAAUCAGAAUGUGUUGGCUCUGAUAUACAGAACGCCUUGUAUUAUUCUUCCAUUGCUCUUCUUUUUAUUGUAA